rnacentral:rRNA from 1 species
AGAACGAACGCUGGCGGCAGGCUUAACACAUGCAAGUCGAACGGUUGUAGCAAUACAGCAGUGGCAGACGGGUGAGUAACACGUGGGAACCUUCCUAGGGGUACGGAACAACUCAGGGAAACUUGAGCUAAUACCGUAUACGUCCGUAAGGAGAAAGAUUCAUCGCCCCUAGACGGGCCCGCGUAGGAUUAGGUAGUUGGUGAGGUAACGGCUCACCAAGCCUACGAUCCUUAGCUGAUCUGAGAGGAUGAUCAGCCACACUGGGACUGAGACACGGCCCAGACCCCUACGGGACGGCGACG